rnacentral:rRNA from 1 species
GAGGGGUUUAAAGGCCGCGGUAAUUUGACCGUGCUAAGGNAGCAUAAUCNCUAGUUUUUUAANUGGAAGCUUGUAUGAAUGGUUGGAUGAGGAAAUANCUGUCUCUUUAAAAUUUUAAGNGAAUUUUAUAUUUAAGUAAAANAGCUUAAAUUUUUUUAAAAGACGAGAAGACCCUAUAGAGUUUUAUAAGAUUUAAUUUUUGAUUUUUAAGUAUUAUAACCUUAAAUAUUAAAUUUUAUUUGAUUGGGGNGAUUGAAAAAUUAAAUUAACUUUUUUUAAAUUAUAACAUUAAUUAAUGAAUUUUUGAUCCAUAUAAAUGAUUAUAAGAUUAAAUUACCUUAGGGAUAACAGCGUAAUUUUUUUUAAGAGUUCGAAUCGAAAAAAAAGUUUGCGACCUCGAUGUUGGAUUAAAGUUAAUUNUUGGUG